GACGAACGCUGGCGGCGUGCUUAACACAUGCAAGUCGAACGGAAAGGCCCUGCUUUUGUGGGGUGCUCGAGUGGCGAACGGGUGAGUAACACGUGAGUAACCUGCCCUUGACUUUGGGAUAACUUCAGGAAACUGGGGCUAAUACCGGAUAGGAGCUCCUGCUGCAUGGUGGGGGUUGGAAAGUUUCCGCGGUUGGGGAUGGACUCGCGGCUUAUCAGCUUGUUGGUGGGGUAGUGGCUUACCAAGGCUUUGACGGGUAGCCGGCCUGAGAGGGUGACCGGCCACAUUGGGACUGAGAUACGGCCCAGACUCCUACGGGAGGCAGCAGUGGGGAAUAUUGCACAAUGGGCGGAAGCCUGAUGCAGCAACGCCGCGUGCGGGAUGACGGCCUUCGGGUUGUAAACCGCUUUCGCCUGUGACGAAGCGUGAGUGACGGUAAUGGGUGAAGAAGCACCGGCUAACUACGUGCCAGCAGCCGCGGUGAUACGUAGGGUGCGAGCGUUGUCCGGAUUUAUUGGGCGUAAAGGGCUCGUAGGUGGUUGAUCGCGUCGGAAGUGUAAUCUUGGGGCUUAACCCUGAGCGUGCUUUCGAUACGGGUUGACUUGAGGAAGGUAGGGGAGAAUGGAAUUCCUGGUGGAGCGGUGGAAUGCGCAGAUAUCAGGAGGAACACCAGUGGCGAAGGCGGUUCUCUGGGCCUUUCCUGACGCUGAGGAGCGAAAGCGUGGGGAGCGAACAGGCUUAGAUACCCUGGUAGUCCACGCUGUAAACGGUGGGUACUAGGUGUGGGGUCCAUUCCACGGGUUCCGUGCCGUAGCUAACGCUUUAAGUACCCCGCCUGGGGAGUACGGCCGCAAGGCUAAAACUCAAAGGAAUUGACGGGGCCCCGCACAAGCGGCGGAGCAUGCGGAUUAAUUCGAUGCAACGCGUAGAACCUUACCUGGGUUUGACAUGGAUCGGGAGUGCUCAGAGAUGGGUGUGCCUCUUUUGGGGUCGGUUCACAGGUGGUGCAUGGCUGUCGUCAGCCCGUGUCGUGAGAUGUUGGGUUAAGUCCCGCAACGAGCGCAACCCUUGUUCACUGUUGCCAGCACGUUAUGGUGGGGACUCAGUGGAGACCGCCGGGGUCAACUCGGAGGAAGGUGGGGAUGACGUCAAGUCAUCAUGCCCCUUAUGUCCAGGGCUUCACGCAUGCUACAAUGGCUGGUACAGAGAGUGGCGAGCCUGUGAGGGUGAGCGAAUCUCGGAAAGCCGGUCUCAGUUCGGAUUGGGGUCUGCAACUCGACCUCAUGAAGUCGGAGUCGCUACGUAAUCGCAGAUCAGCAACGCUGCGGUGAAUACGUUCCCGGGGCU
rnacentral:rRNA from 1 species